rnacentral:tRNA from 1 species
ACUAUAGCUCAGUCGGUAGAGCAUCUCACUCGUAAUGAGAAGGUCGCGAGUUCGAUUCUCGCUGGU